GCCUUGGUAGUGUAAUGGAUCAGCACGUCAGAACGGAUAUCGAUGAUUUAUAUAUUUGUAAGUACGGGUUCGAGUCCCAUCUGAGGUU
rnacentral:tRNA from 1 species